UAUAUGGCUAGACUGGAGGGUUAGGGGUCCUCUGUAAGCACAUACCCCCUUUGGUGCGGUCGAAGUUCAAAAGGCGGCUUUUUGAUGAAGUGUAGGCCUAAAAAAAUAGCAUAGAAACCUCGCCCUGCAGGAUUGGUGGUGAUUUCUGCUUUACUGGAGGGUAAAGAUUUUUUAUCUUAAUUUUAAGCAAUGGGUCAGGCCCGGAAGGGAGCAGCCCACUUAAUUACAUUCAAUGCUUGUAGAAUCACGGGGUGGAGCUUGUUUUUUUAGAUCACCUAUGCUUCUGACAUUAGUCCACUUUUGAACAUGCCAUUUU
rnacentral:SRP_RNA from 1 species